UACGUAGGGUGCAAGCGUUGUCCGGAAUUAUUGGGCGUAAAGAGCUCGUAGGCGGUUUGUUGCGUCGGCUGUGAAAUCCCGAGGCUCAACCUCGGGUCUGCAGUCGAUACGAGCAAACUAGAGUGUUGCAGGGGAGACUGGAAUUCCUGGUGUAGCGGUGAAAUGCGCAGAUAUCAGGAGGAACACCGGUGGCGAAGGCGGGUCUCUGGGCCGAAACUGACGCUGAGGAGCGAAAGCGUGGGUAGCGAACAGG
rnacentral:rRNA from 1 species